AUUGAACGCUGGCGGCAGGCCUAACACAUGCAAGUCGAGCGGAUGAAGGGAGCUUGCUCCUGGAUUCAGCGGCGGACGGGUGAGUAAUGCCUAGGAAUCUGCCUGGUAGUGGGGGAUAACGUCCGGAAACGGGCGCUAAUACCGCAUACGUCCUGAGGGAGAAAGUGGGGGAUCUUCGGACCUCACGCUAUCAGAUGAGCCUAGGUCGGAUUAGCUAGUUGGUGGGGUAAAGGCCUACCAAGGCGACGAUCCGUAACUGGUCUGAGAGGAUGAUCAGUCACAUUGGAACUGAGACACGGUCCAGACUCCUACGGGAGGCAGCAGUGGGGAAUAUUGGACAAUGGGCGAAAGCCUGAUCCAGCCAUGCCGCGUGUGUGAAGAAGGUCUUCGGAUUGUAAAGCACGUUAAGUUGGGAGGAAGGGCAGUAAGUUAAUACCUUGCUGGUUUGACGGUACCAACAGAAUAAGCACCGGCUAACUUCGUG
rnacentral:rRNA from 1 species